rnacentral:rRNA from 1 species
CCCCGGCGCCACAAGUGCUGAUCACUUUUAUUGGGUCUAAAGCGUCCGUAGCUGAUUAAUUAAAUCUCUUGUGAAAUUGUCAAGCUCAACUUGACAGUGUGCAAAGGAAACUGAUUAAUUAGGGACCGGGAGGAGAUAGAAGAACUUUUUGGGAAGUGGUAAAGUGCGAUAAUCCAAAAGGGACUACCAGUGGCGAAGGCGUCUAUCUAGAACGGGUCUGACAGUGAGGGACGAAAGCUAGGGGAGCAAAACG